GCCCUUAGAGUUUGAUCCUGGCUCAGGAUGAACGCUGGCGGCGUGCCUAAUACAUGCAAGUCGAACGCUUCACUUCGGUGAAGAGUGGCGAACGGGUGAGUAAUACAUAAGUAACCUGGCAUCUACAGGGGGAUAACUGAUGGAAACGUCAGCUAAGACCGCAUAGGUGUAGAGAUCGCAUGAACUCUAUAUGAAAAGUGCUACGGGACUGGUAGAUGAUGGACUUAUGGCGCAUUAGCUUGUUGGUAGGGUAACGGCCUACCAAGGCGACGAUGCGUAGCCGACCUGAGAGGGUGACCGGCCACACUGGGACUGAGACACGGCCCAGACUCCUACGGGAGGCAGCAGUAGGGAAUUUUCGGCAAUGGGGGAAACCCUGACCGAGCAACGCCGCGUGAAGGAAGAAGUAAUUCGUUAUGUAAACUUCUGUCAUAGAGGAAGAACGGUGGAUAUAGGGAAUGAUAUCCAAGUGACGGUACUCUAUAAGAAAGCCACGGCUAACUACGUGCCAGCAGCCGCGGUAAUACGUAGGUGGCGAGCGUUAUCCGGAAUUAUUGGGCGUAAAGAGGGAGCAGGCGGCACUAAGGGUCUGUGGUGAAAGAUCGAAGCUUAACUUCGGUAAGCCAUGGAAACCGUAGAGCUAGAGUGUGUGAGAGGAUCGUGGAAUUCCAUGUGUAGCGGUGAAAUGCGUAGAUAUAUGGAGGAACACCAGUGGCGAAGGCGACGAUCUGGCGCAUAACUGACGCUCAGUCCCGAAAGCGUGGGGAGCAAAUAGGAUUAGAUACCCUAGUAGUCCACGCCGUAAACGAUGAGUACUAAGUGUUGGGUGUCAAAGCUCAGUGCUGCAGUUAACGCAAUAAGUACUCCGCC
rnacentral:rRNA from 1 species